rnacentral:rRNA from 1 species
UACAGAGGGGGCAAGCGUUGUUCGGAAUUACUGGGCGUAAAGGGCGCGUAGGCGGCCUGCUAAGUCGAACGUGAAAUCCCUGGGCUCAACCCAGGAACUGCGUCCGAUACUGGUUGGCUUGAAUCCGGGAGAGGGAUGUGGAAUUCCAGGUGUAGCGGUGAAAUGCGUAGAUAUCUGGAGGAAUACCGGUGGCGAAGGCGGCAUCCUGGACCGGAAUUGACACUGAGGAGCGAAAGCCAGGGGGGCAAACGGG